GCGUCUGUCGUAUAGUGGUAAUACCUCAGUCUUCCAAACUGAUGCGAGGGGUUCGAUUCCCCUCAGACGCU
rnacentral:tRNA from 3 species